GUACCUACUGAGCUGAAACACAGU
rnacentral:miRNA from 2 species